rnacentral:rRNA from 1 species
GAUGAACGCUAGCGGCAGGCUUAAUACAUGCAAGUCGAGGGGCAGCGCGGGUAGCAAUACCUGGCGGCGACCGGCAAACGGGUGCGGAACACGUACGCAACCUUCCCAUAACUGGUGAAUAGCCCUCCGAAAGGAGGAUUAAUACACCGUAACAUAACGAAGAGGCAUCUUUUUGUUAUUAUAGUAGCAAUACGGUUUUGGAUGGGCGUGCGCCUGAUUAGGUAGUUGGCGGGGUAACGGCCCACCAAGCCUGCGAUCAGUAACUGGUGUGAAAGCACGAGCAGUCACACGGUGACUGAGACACGGGCCCGACUCCUACGGGGGGCAGCAUUAAGGAAUAUUGGUCAAUGGACGAAAGUCUGAACCAGCCAUGCCGCGUGAAGGAUUAAGGCCCUCUGGGUUGUAAACUUCUUUUAUCUGGGACGAAAAAAGGGCAUUCUUGCUCACUUGACGGUACCAGAGGAAUAAGCACCGGCUAACUCCGUGCCAGCCGCCGCCGUAA